AACAGAAGACAAAACACAAAAUUGGAUCAAAAUCUUACUUGCAAGUAAGCUUUGAGAAGAGAAACUUGGAACUCACCCACACGAACGACGGAACACGGUCUAACACAGAGUCCUAGAAAGUUUACAACAAAGCACGUCAAGAGGUUCAAAACAAAGAAACUGAAAC